rnacentral:misc_RNA from 1 species
GCAUGUGCAUAAUCAUCAAACUCAAGUUUCAUGCUUGCAUGAAAAUACUUGAGUUUGAUGAUUAUGUGCAUGUCCCACAGGGACAUGUAUUUGACGAGCGUGCGACAUGAGAUAAAACGCGAAGCGUUUUAUGAAUGCAUGA